GCCUGGGUGGCUCAGUCAGUUAAGCGUCUGACUUCAGCUCAGGUCACGAUCUCGCAGUCUGUGAGUUCGAGCCUCGCGUCGGGCU
rnacentral:tRNA from 1 species